rnacentral:rRNA from 1 species
UACGGAGGUGGCAAGCGUUGUUCGGAUUUACUGGGUGUAAAGGUCAUGUAGGCGUCUUAUUAAGUCGGAUGUGAAAUCCCUUGGCUCAACCAAGGAACUGCAUUCGAUACUGGUAGGAUUGAGUACGAGAGAGGUAAGCGGAAUUCCGGAAGUAAGGGUGAAAUCUGUAGAUAUUCGGAAGAACACCAUUAGCGAAGGCGGCUUACUGGCUCGAUACUGACGCUGAAAUGAGAAAGCUAAGGGAGCGAACAGGAUUAGAUACCCGCGUA